CAGACAGCUGCCAGUGCAUAUCAGGAACAGCUCGGGAGCUAGUCUCCCCCAGCAUCGGUCCUUCAGGCUUGAGGGAAUCUCUAGCCAGUGAGCCGGUGUCAGACCACAGUAGGAGGCUGAGUUCCUGGGAGCUGGCUGAGGUUUGCUUAUCCUGUCCAAAGUGUCCUCCCUCAGACUUCUGAGAGCCGAACACUGACAGAGUGGGGGACUCCAGCAUGCCCGAGGGUCUGUGCUAAAGCUAACCUUUCAGUGAGCUUCACCAGCUCCUCCCUCUACUUGUGCAGGCUCAGCAGAAAGAGGGCCCAGCCUGUCCUUGAGAAUUUGCCUCCUGCUAGAGGAUGCCUUCAAGCCAUCUCCAGAGGCCUACUCUAUAAAGAAGAACCUUCCUCUUCCUCUUUCUAUUUCAAUCAUGUCCACAACAGGGGAUUUUAGACAAAAUGUUUCACCAGGAGGGAAAUUUAGAGAAGGCACUAGAGGUGUCUGUCCAACAGAGGAGGAUACAAAAAAUCAGGUGUAGUUAGUGCAAUAGUGUGGACAGGCAUCAGAGAUGCACCUACAGGAAGUUUCUACCUCAACAGUUGCUUUUUUGUUUCCCUGAAAUUUCCCAUUGCAGUAAAUCUGAUAUCCUCCCCAAGCACACAGCCCUCUCCCAUGCCAAGAAAGGACAAGACAUUUGCACUUCAAACAGUCUCUCGAAGGUCUUAAAUCUCAGAACAUUUACCCACAUUUGAAACAGCUUUCCAGCAAAGGCAGAUGCUCCAAGAACAUCUACUUUAUGUGAAGAAGCUCUAUCAUAUGUGAGCUCUCAUCUAUACUACUACAUUUUUGCAGACCUUUUGCAUGAAUUUGUUGCCUUGCUCUUUUGUAUUUUUAAAUGAAUGAAUCCUCCAUGAAAUAUCCAUGGGAUCAAAGCUGAAAAACUCAUCACACUGAUACUCUGUUCGUCAUGUAUCUGUCUUCUGCAUGAAAGGGAGUAGCUCUGAUCAGGCAAUGAGGAAAGUACAGGAAAUAGAAUCAAAAAGGGACCACUUGGCUUAUCAGAUUCAAUCCAUUUGAAUAACAGGCAAGUACAACACAAAUGGCCUUUUUUAAACUUACUAAGCUCUAACCUAAAUCUCAUUAGGUUUCUGCCCUCACUUCUGCUUCUGGAAUGCUAUUCCAGCACCUCCUUCCCCGUUCUGUUGCUUAGAAACCUUCUGAYUUCCAACCUAAAUUCAUUCAUGGCCAAUUUAUAUCUAUUUGCUCUUGUGCCACACUGUCCUUUAGCUUAAGUAGCUCUUCUCUCUCCCUAGCACUUUCCCAACCCCCAAUUUCUAGAAGUAUUUAUAGGCACCAAAUCUCUCCUCUCUUAACCUUUGUUCUGCCAGACUAAGUAACUAAGCUCCCUUCUAGUAUUCACCCUGCAGGCACAUCACACCGUGUUUUAAUUUUG
rnacentral:lncRNA from 1 species